rnacentral:rRNA from 1 species
GACGAACGCUGGCGGCGUGCUUAACACAUGCAAGUCGUACGGUAAGGCCCUUUCGGGGGUACACGAGUGGCGAACGGGUGAGUAACACGUGAGUAACCUGCCCACAACUUUGGGAUAACGCUAGGAAACUGGUGCUAAUACUGGAUAUGUGCUCCUGCUGCAUGGUGGGGGUUGGAAAGCUCCGGCGGUUGGGGAUGGACUCGCGGCCUAUCAGCUUAUUGGUGGGGUAGUGGCCUACCAAGGCGGCGACGGGUAGCCGGCCUGAGAGGGUGACCGGCCACAUUGGGACUGAGAUACGGCCCAGACUCCUACGGGAGGCAGCAGUGGGGAAUAUUGCACAAUGGGCGCAAGCCUGAUGCAGCAACGCCGCGUGCGGGAUGACGGCCUUCGGGUUGUAAACCGCUUUCAGCAGGGACGAAGCUUUUUGUGACGGUACCUGCAGAAGAAGCACCGGCUAACUACGUG